GCCGUCGUAGCUCAGCCUGGGAGAGCACUCGGCUGAAGACCGAGCUGUCGUGAGCUCAAAUCUCACCGACGGCA
rnacentral:tRNA from 3 species